UGUUCUAUGGCCUAAUUGGUAAAGGGAUUGCCGAUCACACGCGAGGUUGCGGGUUCGAGUCCCGCUGGAACGG
rfam:Operophtera brumata OBRT01_Sc10361, whole genome shotgun sequence.